rnacentral:rRNA from 1 species
CCUACGGGAGGCUGCAGUGAGGAAUAUUGGUCAAUGGCCGCAGGCCUGAACCAGCCAAGUAGCGUGAAGGAUGACUGUCCUAUGGAUUGUAAACUUCUUUUAUAAGGGAAUAAAGUGAGGCACGUGUGCCUCUUUGCGUGUACUUUAUGAAUAAGGAUCGGCUAACUCCGUGCCAGCAGCCGCGGUAAUACGGAGGAUUCGAGCGUUAUCCGGAUUUAUUGGGUUUAAAGGGGGCGUAGGCGGGUUGUUAAGUCAGUUGUGAAAGUUUGGGGCUCAACGUGGGAACUGCCUUUGAAACUGGCAAACUGGAGUGUGCGAGAGGAGAGUGGAAUUCCAGGUGUAGGAGUGAAAUCCGUAGAUAUCUGGAGGAACAUCAGUGGCGAAGGCGACUAUCUGGCACAUAACUGACGCUGAGGAGCGAAAGCGUGGGUAGCAAACAGGAUUAGAUACCCGUGUAGUC